rnacentral:lncRNA from 1 species
ACCACCAGGUAUAUGGAUAGUGUUCCAUUGAUCAUUCCACUUCUUGAGAAAAGAGUAUAGGAGCUCCACAAGAAAGCUAAAAGAAAUAAAUCAGGAACUCAGGUUUUGCAUGUGCAAACUUGUGAAUGAGGAUGAUGCUAAUACUUGGUCAUAAAUACAAACAUAGAUGCAUAAAAUUGUUGUAUGCAAUUUGGUUUCUUCUAGUUGCCAAUAAAGCUGAGGAAGAUGCCUUUUGUUUUGGGUAAUGUCAUGUCAUUUUUCAUCACAAGGGGACAAUGGGCUCUCUCUGUAUACAAAAUAUGCUCAUAACUUUUUGUGUAUCAAGUGAAAAAGAUUUUAUAUGACACUCACAUGGUGGGAUGACAAAUUUUCUGAAAUUAGAGCACUCUUUAUAUAUUUACUGCUUAAGAAUCUUUGAUGGGGCCCUCAUUCUUCAUCCUUCUAGUUUUUAUGCAGGCAUGGCCUCUAAAUUGAUAAUGCUUAAAAAUUAAAAAUAAAGAAAAAAAAAUAGUGAUAAUGAAACUAUUAAAUUGUGAGAGAAAAUAAUUGUUAUUAAGGUGAUGAUACAACGUUCCAAAUUAUCACCCUUUAUUGUACACAAAACUGGAU